rnacentral:rRNA from 1 species
CCUACGAGCGGCAGCAGUGAGGAAUAUUGGUCAAUGGGCGCGAGCCUGAACCAGCCAAGUAGCGUGAAGGAUGACUGCCCUACGGGUUGUAAACUUCUUUUAUAAAGGAAUAAAGUGAGGCACGUGUGCCUUUUUGUAUGUACUUUAUGAAUAAGGCUCGGCUAACUCCGUGCCAGCCGCCGCGGUAAUACGGAGGAGCCGAGCGUUAUCCGGAUUUAUUGGGUUUAAAGGGAGCGUAGAUGGGUUGUUAAGUCAGUUGUGAAAGUUUGCGGCUCAACCGUAAAAUUGCAAUUGAUACUGGCAGACUUGAGGACAGUUGAGGUAGGCGGAAUUCGUGGUGUAGCGGUGAAAUGCUUAGAUAUCACGAAGAACUCCGAUUGCGAAGGCAGCUUACUAAACUGCCACUGACAUUGAUGCUCGAAAGUGUGGGUAUCAAACAGGAUUAGAUACCCUGGUAGUC